rnacentral:rRNA from 1 species
UACCAGCACCCCGAGUGGUCGGGACGUUAUUGGGCCUAAAGCAUCCGUAGCCGGUUCUACAAGUCUUCCGUUAAAUCCAACUGCUUAACAGGUGGGCUGCGGAAGAUACUAUAGAGCUAGGAGGCGGGGAGAGGCAAAGCGGUACUCGAUGGGGUAGGGGUAAAAAUCCGUUGAUCCAUUGAAGACCACCAGUGGCGAAGGCGGCUUGCCAGAACGCGCUCGACG